UACGUAGGAGACAAGCGUUGUCCGGAAUUACUGGGUGUAAAGCGCGUGUAGGCGGUAGGCCAAGUCUGCUGUGAAAUCGCCCGGCUCAACUGGGCGCGGUCGGUGGAAACUGGUCAACUGGAGGACGGUAGAGGCGAGUGGAAUUCCCGGUGUAGUGGUGAAAUGCGUAGAGAUCAGGAGGAACACCCGUGGCGAAGGCGGCCCUCUGGCUCGAUCCUGACGCUGAGGCGCGAAAGCGUGGGGAGCGAACGGG
rnacentral:rRNA from 1 species